rnacentral:tRNA from 1 species
UUAUAGCCCAGUCGGUAGAGCGUUAGAUGGCCUGCUAAGCCAAAGAUUGUCGGUUCGAUUCUUCCCA